UCUCGGCUUAUCACCGGCAGUCCCCCUAGAGUGCCCAACUGAAUGAUGGCAACUAAGGGCGAGGGUUGCGCUCGUUGCGCCACUUAAGGCAACACCUCACGGCACGAGCUGACGACAGCCAUGCAGCACCUGUGCAGGCUCCCGAAGGAGCACCGUAUUUCUACGGUUUCACCCUGCAUGUCAAGCCCUGGUAAGGUUCUUCGCGUUGCGUCGAAUUAAGCCACAUGCUCCGCCGCUUGUGCGGGUCCCCGUCAAUUCCUUUGAGUUUUAGUCUUGCGACCGUACUCCCCAGGCGGGAUGCUUACUGCGUUGGCUGCGCCACUGACGGGUAAACCCGCCAACGGCUAGCAUCCAUCGUUUACGGCGUGGACUAC
rnacentral:misc_RNA from 1 species